rnacentral:rRNA from 1 species
CCUACGGGGGGCAGCAGUGGGGAAUAUUGCGCAAUGGGCGAAAGCCUGACGCAGCCACGCCGCGUGAGCGAUGAAGGUUCUAGGAUCGUAAAGCUCUGUGGAGAGAGAAGAAGCCUGACGGUAUCUCUUUAGCAAGCACCGGCUAACUCCGUGCCAGCAGCCGCGGUAAUACGGAGGGUGCGAACGUUGCUCGGAAUCAUUGGGCGUAAAGCGCACGUAGGCGGCUGCGCAAGUUGGAUGUGAAAGCCCAGGGCUCAACCUUGGAAGUGCAUCCAAAACUGCGCAGCUUGAGUCCCGGAGGGGCCCAGAGAAUUCUCGGUGUAGAGGUGAAAUUCGUAGAUAUCGGGAGGAAUACCAGUGGCGAAAGCGCUCUGCUGGGCCACAACUGACGCUGAUGGACGAAAGCUAGGGGAGCGAAAGGGAUUAGAUACCCCUGUAGUCCUAGCCGUAAACGAUGAACACUAGGUGUUGUCUGUAUCGACCCGGACAGUGCCGUAGCUAACGCGUUAAGUGUUCCGCCUGGGGAGUACGCACGCAAGUGUGAAACUCAAAGGAAUUGACGGGGGCCCGCACAAGCGGUGGAGUAUGUGGUUUAAUUCGAUGCAACGCGAAGAACCUUACCAGGACUUGACAUCCCUUGAACUUACUAGAAAUAGUUUGGUGCCUUCGGGAGCAAGGAGACAGGUGGUGCAUGGCUGUCGUCAGCUCGUGUCGUGAGAUGUUGGGUUAAGUCCCGCAACGAGCGCAACCCACGUUUUUAGUUGCCAUCAUUAAGUUGGGCACUCUAGAGAGACUGCCGGUGACAAACCGGAGGAAGGUGUGGACGACGUCAAGUCAUCAUGCCCCUUACGUUCUGGGCUACACACGUACUACAAUGCUUCGGACAGAGGGCAGCGAGCCAGCGAUGGUAAGCUAAUCCCAUAAACCGAGGCUCAGUUCAGAUUGCAGGCUGCAACUCGCCUGCAUGAAGGAGGAAUCGCUAGUAAUCGCAGGUCAGCAUACUGCGGUGAAUACGUUCCCGGGCCUUGUACACACCGCCCGUC